UACGGGGGGGGCAAGCGUUGUUCGGAAUUACUGGGCGUAAAGGGCUCGUAGGUGGCCAACUAAGUCAGACGUGAAAUCCCUCGGCUUAACCGGGGGAACUGCCGUCUGAUACUGGAUGGCUUGAGUUCGGGAGAGGGAUGCGGAAAUUCCAGGUGUAGCGGUGAAAAUGCGCAGAUAUCAGGAGGAACACCGGUGGCGAAAGCGGCUCACUGGACCUCUUCUGACGCUGAGGCACGAAAAGCUAGGGGUAGCAAAAACGGGG
rnacentral:rRNA from 1 species